rnacentral:rRNA from 1 species
AUGGCGGGCCGUCGCCGUAACCGCAAGACGAUGCAGGCAGGCGCGUCGGUGGCUGCCGGUGACUGUUCACUCAAGAGGAAGAAGGCGAGCUCGUCGGAGGCCGGUGACUGUUCACUCAAGAGGAAGGAGGCGAGUUCGUCGGGGGCUGCAGGCGACUGUUCACUCGUCAAGAGGAAGAAGCCGAGCGCGCCGGAGGAGGGAGAGAUCCCGGAGAAGAGGAAGAAGGUGUUCAUGCCGUUGUCGCCGACGGACGUUCUGUUGGGCAAGAGGCCCAAGGAGGUCCUGCCGGCCGGGGCACCGGAGAAGAGGAUGAAGGUGGUCAGGAGAAGGCUGCCGCAGUCGCUCGUCGAGCACAUCGUGGCAAACCCCUACCAGAUGCCCGUAGUCCCCGCCGACGUGCUGGCCAGGGAAACCAACUACUACCGCGAGUUCUACGCCAAAAGCAGGCAGACGGCCGACAAGAUCGCCGCCUACCAGCAGGGCAUCAUCGACCAGUACAAGUCCUUUGGCUACGCGGAGGAGGAUACAGAAGUCACGGACGAGGAGGAGGAGGACGACGACGAGGAGGACUAG